UACUUUAUCUUGGUAAUUGGUUGUC
rnacentral:miRNA from 1 species